GACGAACGCUGGCGGCGUGCUUAACACAUGCAAGUCGAACGGAAAGGCCCUGCUUUUGUGGGGUGCUCGAGUGGCGAACGGGUGAGUAACACGUGAGUAACCUGCCCUUGACUUUGGGAUAACUUCAGGAAACUGGGGCUAAUACCGGAUAGGAGCUCCUGCUGCAUGGUGGGGGUUGGAAAGUUUCGGCGGUUGGGGAUGGACUCGCGGCUUAUCAGCUUGUUGGUGGGGUAGUGGCUUACCAAGGCUUUGACGGGUAGCCGGCCUGAGAGGGUGACCGGCCACAUUGGGACUGAGAUACGGCCCAGACUCCUACGGGAGGCAGCAGUGGGGAAUAUUGCACAAUGGGCGGAAGCCUGAUGCAGCAACGCCGCGUGCGGGAUGACGGACUUCGGGUUGUAAACCGCUUUCGCCUGUGACGAAGCGUGAGUGACGGUAAUGGGUAAAGAAGCACCGGCUAACUACGU
rnacentral:rRNA from 1 species